rnacentral:rRNA from 1 species
AAUGAACGUUGGCGGCGUGGAUUAGGCAUGCAAGUCGUGCGGCAGCAGGCCCCGCAAGGGGUGCUGGCGAGCGGCGAAAGGGUCAGUAACACGUGGAUAACCUACCCCCGGGCCCGGAAUAGCGGCGGGAAACUGCCGGUAAUGCCGGAUAAUGUCCCUGGACCAAAGGUGGGAUUCCGUCCGAGGAUGGGCCCGCGUCUUAUUAGCUAGUUGGUGAGGUAACGGCCCACCGAGGCAAAGAUGGGUAGGGGGUGUGAGAGCAUGACCCCCGACACUGGGACUGAGACACUGCCCAGACACCUACGGGUGGCUGCAGUCGAGAAUCUUCGGCAAUGGGCGCAAGCCUGACCGAGCGACGCCGCGUGCGGGAUGAAGGCCUUCGGGUUGUAAACCGCUGUCAGAGGGGCGGAAAUAUGUUGGAGUUCUCUCCAGCAUUUGACUUAACCUCAGAGGAAGCAUGGGCUAAGUUCGUGCCAGCCGCCGCCGUAACAC